CCCCUCUCAGGAUUGCACCUGGAGUGUUUCCAGUACUCGACCGGUCUCGGCCACGGGAGGGAUAGUCAAGCAGAGGCACAUCCAUUCCAUUCCUAGCUUGGGCAGUGGCUAGAGAGUGGAAAGCAAUCUGCUACAAGU